GCGAACUUCUUUUUUCAAGUCAUCAUCGACCAGAAUUACCUAAUAAUCGAUUUGUUGAAGGGGGACUCUCUUCACUUAACCAAGGAUCCUGUACAGAAACAGGGGAACUGUCUUUUAUUUCCUCCAUGAUUGCCAGUGAAUUCGCUAUCUUCUGGGGAACAAUCAACCUCCUACUCCCUACUCCUUUCUUAGUUGUUGUACUACGAAAAGAUGUCUCACUCAUACUACGGGGAGAUGAGCAAGAGGAAUUCACUGAUGAAGUCAUGCAUACAUUGUCCUCCAAUGAUGCCCAACUGCUGAGCCUGAUCUGUUCCAGCUCGUCUGCCACUUCUGUCAUUGAAGGCCUCAUAUCCCUAUGAAAUGCAAGGCAUCUAAAAGCAAGCUCUGCAACUCUAUGAACUGAUGAUAGAGUCCAUGCAUCUCUGUGUGGCUCUAGAAAUGGAUCGAUGAUCUCAUCCACACGACCCUUACCUAUUCUGUCUAUUGCAAGUGCAGCCAAAU
rnacentral:misc_RNA from 1 species